rnacentral:piRNA from 1 species
UAUAAUGGUUCCCGAAGGUUAGUCCU